GCGCCCGUGGGCUAGUCGUUAAGCCGCUUCCCUCCCAAGGAAGAGAUCGUGGGUUCAAAUCCCGCCGGACGCA
rnacentral:tRNA from 1 species